AUGAUGAAUCUGUUAUCGCAUGCACUGUUUGUGAAGUUGGCUGUAACACUUUGGGUGAUUUGGACAGCAAGGAGGAAGGCGAUUCAUGAAGGAAUCUUCCAAAGUCCGCAGGCUACUCACUUGUUCGUCCAGAGGUUCAUAUCUGAACUUGAUAUGAUCAAGUCUCCAUCCCCAACACAAUUGAGUACACGAACCAGGACGGCUCAAAGCACGCGAGCCAAGGUGCCGCAACCAGGAUUCGCGAAGAUACAUGUAGAUGCAGGUGUGGCGCGGUCUAGGGGGACGGCAGCGGCUGUUUGCCGGGACGACCAAGGGAAUUACAUGGGUAGUUCUUCCCUGCUCAUAUACGGUAUGCAGGAUCCAACCACUUUGGAAAUCAUUGCAUGCCGGGAAGCAUUGGCAUUGGCAGAGGAUCUGGCAGUACAGAACGUUGUUAUCUCGUCGGAUGCAAAACAAGCAAUACAGAACCUGAAAAACACCAGCAGAGGACGCUAUGGGGCCAUCAUCGAGGAGAUCCAAGCUAGAGCAGCUAAUUUCAUCUGCAAUUUUUUGUAUGAAAGUCGUUCGGUUAAUAUAGAGGCACACAAACUUGCUAGAUUCUCACUUUCUUUAGAUCAGGAGCGCCACCUAUGGCUUGUUCAACCCCAUGAUUUGAGUUGUAUCCCACACUCUAUGGUUUAUGAUCAAUAA
rnacentral:rRNA from 1 species